rnacentral:rRNA from 1 species
UACGGAGGGUGCAAGCGUUAUCCGGAAUCAUUGGGUUUAAAGGGUCCGCAGGCGGAUUUAUAAGUCAGUGGUGAAAGCCCGUCGCUUAACGACGGAACUGCCAUUGAUACUGUAAGUCUUGAAUUCGAUCGAAGUGGGCGGAAUAUGACAUGUAGCGGUGAAAUGCUUAGAUAUGUCAUAGAACACCGAUAGCGAAGGCAGCUCACUAGGUCUGGAUUGACGCUCAGGGACGAAAGCGUGGGGAGCAAACAGG